UACGUAGGGGGCAAGCGUUGUCCGGAAUCAUUGGGCGUAAAGAGCGUGUAGGCGGCCCGAUAAGUCCGCUGUGAAAGUCCAGGGCUCAACCCUGGGAUGCCGGUGGAUACUGUCGGGCUCGAGUCCGGAAGAGGAAUGUGGAAUUCCUGGUGUAGCGGUGAAAUGCGCAGAUAUCAGGAGGAACACCAAUGGCGAAGGCAGCACUCUGGGACGUGACUGACGCUGAGACGCGAAAGCGUGGGGAGCAAACAGG
rnacentral:rRNA from 1 species